GAAAAAAUAAGACGAUUAUAAAAAGUUCAAGAAAACUUCAAUAGGUUGAGACAAGAAUACUUCAAUACUACAGGUUUAACGACUACCCAUUUACGACAAUUGACCGUCGGUAAAUACUUAACCUACUGAUUAUUGUCAUCGUUAAAACCACGAUUUCUAGUGACUAAUUCAUCCCCGUAUUAUGUUAAUCUAAACCAACAAUCCUUUAAAAAUAAAGUAGAGUUUAGGGGAUUUACUCGAGCAAAAUACUUAGGAAGUGUCCUUAAUCUAUUAGGGAUUAUAUCCGUACCCAUGCAGAAUUGUAAUUAUUCUAUAGUGGUUCUAUUUAGUACUCAUUGAUUCUAUAGUGGUCCUCUUUCCUACUCAUUUACCGCGUGAUGCAAAAUUAUUGAUAUGAUAGAUAGGAUUAAUAAACUUAAAAGUGGUUACAUUAGGGGUCCUUUCUUACCUUUUUAAUAAAAGGAUCUUAUCAUGAAUAACUACAAUAUAAGAAAAUAUAUGAUUCUAUACGUGUCAACAAAACGUUUUGGGCUCGUGCUCUAUUUCGAAUUGCUUUUUUUUUUGUCUAUUAUAUUACAGGAGUUGUGUACCUUAACUCCUACCUAGUAUCUUGUCAAUUUAAAAUACUUAAAAUAAUUUAAUUGCGUUAGUUGGUAAAUAUUUAAGGGGUUGGCAACCAAGAUCUGGGAUGCAAUCGCUAUAAUGUAAAUGAUUUGUAAUUUUGCCCUUUGUAACUCUUUCUCCAUACAAAAAACUCAAACAAAAAAAAUUACUUAAAAUACUUUUACUUACUUUUCCCGUUUUCUUUAAGUGUUAUACUUGUCUAGCUAAAUGAAUCGUUUUUUUAUUUAAAUAUCACCCAAAAACGGAAAACGUAAAGAAUAAAAACGGACGUAGAUAAUAGAUUUAUUACGGUCACUUAUAUAUUUUUAGUGUAACUUUUAUUAUUGAGAAUAUAAAAAGUACUUUGUAAAUUUUAUCGAGAAUAAUGGUUAUUUUUUCUUUAUGCCUAAUAAGUGGUGUCACGUAAUGAUAUUAUUAUGGUAAAUCGGAGGCAAGCAAAACCAUUUACAAAAGCUUUUACGUGCACUUAUUCAUUCGGGACUCCAUAACAAAAGAGAGAUGGGAUUAGAGAAUCUUGGCUUUUACGUGCACUUAUUCAUUGGGGACUCCAUAACAAAAGAGAGAUGGGAUUAGAGAAUCUUGGCUUUUACGUGCACUUAUUCAUUGGGGACUCCAUAAAAAAGAUAUGGGAUUAGAAAAUCUUGUCUUUUACGUACACUUAUUCUUACAUUAGCUUGUUCGGUACAGUUGUGCCUUUGCGAAUGCCUUAUUCGAUAAAUAUGCAAUCGAUUUUGCUUCAUAUAUAUCAAAUAAUACAAUCUCUCCUUCAACACCGUGAUUUCUUAUUAUUAUAUAUCUCAAAGUUAAGGUUAUUAAGAAAAAGAAAAGGAUAUGGCGGACAUUAAUGUAACACCAGAAGUAGUGGAGGAUGUGGAAAUUGAUUUGGAAGCAAAGGCCAAGGAAUAUGAGGCUAGUUCCAAGGCCAACAACUCCGGAGAAUAUCAACUGACGACCGAUAUCAAGAACUUUAGCAAAGGCCGCGUGCACAAAGUGGAGACUCAUUUUUGGAAUGGACGCACUUUGACUAACUUCCCUGCACUCCCAAUUAACACUGGUGUUGCCAUGCGCCAGGCCGGACCCCUUCCUAAAGGUGUCAAGUGGGGAAUCGUCUAUGCUGAUGGUGAAGACACCACUGCUCGUAAAUUCAUCGUUGCUGUAGAUGGCCCAAGUGGAAAGGUUAUUAAGAAAAAGAAAAGGAUAUGGCGGACAUUAAUGUAACACCAGAAGUAGUGGAGGAUGUGGAAAUUGAUUUGGAAGCAAAGGCCAAGGAAUAUGAGGCUAGUUCCAAGGCCAACAACUCCGGAGAAUAUGAAUUGACGACCGAUAUCAAGAACUUUAGCAAAGGCCGCGUGCACAAAGUGGAGACUCAUUUUUGGAAUGGACGCACUUUGACUAACUUCCCUGCACUCCCAAUUAACACUGGUGUUGCCAUGCGCCAGGCCGGACCCCUUCCUAAAGGUGUCAAGUAGGGAAUCGUCUAUGCUAAUGGUGAAGACACCACUGCUCGUAAAUCCAUCGUUGUUGUAGAUGGCCCAAGUGGAAAGAUAUAUGUUGAAGCUGGACCAAUAGGUCUGGUUGAUUGGAACAUAGUUGAAGUGAAACUGGACCAACAUUCUGGAAGCAAAGCUGAGACCACUGACCCAAUUCUUGGAGGCAAGAUUGUGGCUCAGGUUACUUGUACUUAUGCAGUUGCAAGGUUCUACAAUUACCUUAAUUGUCACUUCGACCAGCUUCAGCUUGCUUGCUACAGGCUACACAGCUAGCAAGCAUCUGAGUUAUGCAAUUAAUUAAGUUCGUCUUUAUUUCGAUCAUGCACUUAAUAAAACAAAUGCUUCCCUCUUGGGAUUGUGAUUUGUGGUUUCUGAUCUGUGAUCAACGAAUAAAAAAGGAGGAUGUUCCCUUUUGUGCUUUGUAAUCACAUAGAUCUGUUAUCAAUGGAAAUUUAAGAGUUUUUUUUUUAAUACUAUUGGCUUGUG